GCCAGGUGUGGUGAUGCAUGCCUGUAAUCCCAGCUACUUGGGAGGCUGAGGCAGGAGAAUUGCUUGAACCCAGGAGGAGGAGGUUGCAGUGAGCCGAGAUUGAGCCACUGCACUCCAGCCUGGGCGACAGAGCAAGACUCUGUCUCAA
ensembl:misc_RNA Metazoa_SRP Metazoan signal recognition particle RNA